ACCUAACCCUUGGAAAUUUUUUAUUUUCAAGGCAUGGUUUUGAAUACCAACCAAGGCAUUAGACUCCUCGUCUAGAUUGCCUUGGUUGGUCAUAGCUCGAAAGGGUUAUGGGUGGGAAACC
rnacentral:sRNA from 1 species